rnacentral:rRNA from 1 species
GAGAGAUCGGCGUCCCCCUUCGGGGGACAGGGUGACAGGUGGUGCAUGGUUGUCGUCAGCUCGUGUCGUGAGAUGUUGGGUUAAGUCCCGCAACGAGCGCAACCCUCGACCUUAGUUGCCAGCAUUCAGUUGGGCACUCUAAGGUGACUGCCGGCUAAAAGUCGGAGGAAGGUGGGGAUGACGUCAAAUCAUCAUGCCCCUUAUGACCUGGGCCACACACGUGCUACAAUGGGCGGUACAAAGGGUCGCGAACCCGCGAGGGGGAGCCAAUCCCAAAAAGCCGCUCUCAGUUCGGAUUGCAGGCUGCAACUCGCCUGCAUGAAGCCGGAAUCGCUAGUAAUCGCGGAUCAGCAUGCCGCGGUGAAUACGUUCCCGGGCCUU